rnacentral:rRNA from 1 species
CAGUAGCCGCGGUAAUACGUAGGUGGCAAGCGUUGUCCGGAAUUAUUGGGCGUAAAGGGCUCGCAGGCGGUUUCUUAAGUCUGAUGUGGAAGCCCCCGGCUCAACCGGGGAGGGUCAUUGGAAACUGGGAAACUUGAGUGCAGAAGAGGAGAGUGGAAUUCCACGUGUAGCGGUGAAAUGCGUAGAGAUGUGGAGGAACACCAGUGGCGAAGGCGACUCUCUGGUCUGUAACUGACGCUGAGGAGCGAAAGCGUGGGGAGCGAACAGGAUUAGAUACCCCUGUAGUCCCUGUCUCUUAUAU